AGAGUUUGAUCCUGGCUCAGGAUGAACGCUGGCGGCGUGCCUAAUACAUGCAAGUCGAACGAGUUCUCGUUGAUGAUCGGUGCUUGCACCGAGAUUCAACAUAGAACGAGUGGCGGACGGGUGAGUAACACGUGGGUAACCUGCCCUUAAGUGGGGGAUAACAUUUGGAAACAGAUGCUAAUACCGCAUAGAUCCAAGAACCGCAUGGUUCUUGGCUGAAAGAUGGCGUAAGCUAUCGCUUUUGGAUGGACCCGCGGCGUAUUAGCUAGUUGGUGAGGUAAUGGCUCACCAAGGCGAUGAUACGUAGCCGAACUGAGAGGUUGAUCGGCCACAUUGGGACUGAGACACGGCCCAAACUCCUACGGGAGGCAGCAGUAGGGAAUCUUCCACAAUGGACGCAAGUCUGAUGGAGCAACGCCGCGUGAGUGAAGAAGGCUUUCGGGUCGUAAAACUCUGUUGUUGGAGAAGAAUGGUCGGCAGAGUAACUGUUGUCGGCGUGACGGUAUCCAACCAGAAAGCCACGGCUAACUACGUGCCAGCAGCCGCGGUAAUACGUAGGUGGCAAGCGUAUCCGAUUUAUUGGGCGUAAAGCGAGCGCAGCGGGUUUUUUAGUCUUAUGUGAAAGCCCUCGGCUUAACCGAGGAAGUGCAUCGGAAACUGGGAAACUUGAGUGCAGAAGAGGACAGUGGAACUCCAUGUGUAGCGGUGAAAUGCGUAGAUAUAUGGAAGAACACCAGUGGCGAAGGCGGCUGUCUGGUCUGUAACUGACGCUGAGGCUCGAAAGCAUGGGUAGCGAACAGGAUUAGAUACCCUGGUAGUCCAUGCCGUAAACGAUGAAUGCUAGGUGUUGGAGGGUUUCCGCCCUUCAGUGCCGCAGCUAACGCAUUAAGCAUUCCGGCUGGGGAGUACGACCGCAAGGUUGAAACUCAAAGGAAUUGACGGGGGCCCGCCCAAGCGGGGGAGCAAUGUGUUUAAUUGAAGCAACCGGGAAGACCCUUACCAGGUCUUGACAUUUUUGAUCCCCUGAGAGAUCAGGUUUCCCCUUCGGGGGCAAAAUGACAGGUGGUGCAUGGUUGUCGUCAGCUCGUGUCGUGAGAUGUUGGGUUAAGUCCCGCAACGAGCGCAACCCUUAUGACUAGUUGCCAGCAUUUAGUUGGGCACUCUAGUAAGACUGCCGGUGACAAACCGGAGGAAGGUGGGGAUGACGUCAAAUCAUCAUGCCCCUUAUGACCUGGGCUACACACGUGCUACAAUGGAUGGUACAACGAGUUGCGAGACCGCGAGGUCAAGCUAAUCUCUUAAAGCCAUUCUCAGUUCGGACUGUAGGCUGCAACUCGCCUACACGAAGUCGGAAUCGCUAGUAAUCGCGGAUCAGCACGCCGCGGUGAAUACGUUCCCGGGCCUUGUACACACCGCCCGUCACACCAUGAGAGUUUGUAACACCCGAAGCCGGUGGCGUAACCCUUUUAGGGAGCGAGCCGUCUAAGGUGGGACAAAUGAUUAGGGUGAAGUCGUAACAAGGUAGCCGUAGGAGAACCUGCGGCUGGAUCACCUCCUU
rnacentral:rRNA from 1 species